rnacentral:rRNA from 1 species
GACAGAGGUGCCGAGCGUUAGGCGGAAUCACUGGGCUUAAAGCGUGUGUAGGUGGAUGCCUAAGUACCUUGUGAAAUCCCACGGCUUAACCGUGGAACUGCUUGGUAUACUGGGUGUCUUGAGCCCAGCUAGGGGGCUACCGGAACAAAUGGUGGAGCGGUGAAAUGCGUAGAUAUCAUUUGGAACGCCAAUGGUGAAAACAGGUAGCUGGGGCUGUGCUGACACUGAGACACGAAGCCAGGGGAGCGAACGGG